rnacentral:lncRNA from 1 species
AUACUACUGGUAACACAGUAGUAAGGCCACGGGAAGUCUGAAGGAGAAAAGAAAUUCAUCUUUAUGGCAUCUAAGUGCAAGAAGAGCAUCUAUAAACCUGCUUUUUAUUAGCGGGAUCAUCAUGCUGUCAUUUGCUCACAGCCUGCAGAUAGUCCUGGGUCCUCAGACGCCUGGAGGAUAAGCACACAAAUCCAUUCUAGCCAGAACCCAGCUGUGUAAGCCCAGAGGUCCUGGAAUGUAAAUGCAACCAUCAUUUCAGGCAUUCCAUUUCAAGAAUCCCUGGAUGGAGUGUUACUGGUGGUAGCUUUGCUCCAUUGAAAUGGAACUCAGGUCUGCCAGCAAGUGUAGGGCCAGGAGGCUUGUUUCUUCAUACAGCUGCCCUGUCAGCCUCAAAUGAAGAGAAGAUUACAGUCUGGGAGGAACACAAGAAAUGCUUAGUGAUAUGUAGCAGGAGCAAACUCCAGAUCCACAUCUCUAGAGGCCAUUGUAAAGGAAGUAAAACUACUCAGUCUGAAGUCACCGUCUUAAGGAUAAUAAGGAAAUACCAAAAGGUUGAGAGGAAUCACCUGAGAGUCAGGAAGAUCUGACUUCAAAUUCUGUCUCUGACACAUGGGUUGCCAUCAUCUUGAUUUCUGCUAUUGCUUUUCCUGGAUUCAGUAUUUUAGGGCUGGUUCUGGUAUAGUCCAUGAUGGUUUGAUGUCAGUACAAAGAGAAUGGGUUCUAUAACUGGACCAGCCACUCCUCUAUAAAGCCAUCCAUAGAGUCAGUCAUCUGGUGAUAGGUCUGCAUGAAGACUCUGGGUCCUAAAUACUCAUCAUGUUUAUUCAGAUCAGGAUCACAUGUGUGCAUUCAGGGUUUAUCUCCAUAUUUGUCCGAGUCCAAUUUGUAGAUGGCACAUUUCUUGAGAUGGGGAGCUGCAGUGGUUGCUGCCUGGGGCUCCUUGGUGGACCUCAGGGAGCAGAGAAAUUCCUGGGAUAAGACCAUGCCUCAACAAAUUUCAAACUGCCAUUGCAUUUUGGCCAAUGACCUCCCCCCUUCCCGAAAUAACUUUUUAAAAGCUACAUAAUACAGGAAUUGCUUAGUGUGACAAAUUUCUAGACCAGGAGCUCCUCUCACUGAUAAAAUCAUAAAUUUUAUAAAGCAUUUUAUUGUUAAUAGAGCAAUAACAUUAAGAAACAAUAAACAAUAAUGGCACCAACA